UUCCGUAGGGUGAACCUGCGGAAGGAUCAUUACCGAGUGAGGGCCCUCUGGGUCCAACCUCCCACCCGUGUUUAUUUUACCUUGUUGCUUCGGCGGGCCCGCCUUAACUGGCCGCCGGGGGGCUUACGCCCCCGGGCCCGCGCCCGCCGAAGACACCCUCGAACUCUGUCUGAAGAUUGUAGUCUGAGUGAAAAUAUAAAUUAUUUAAAACUUUCAACAACGGAUCUCUUGGUUCCGGCAUCGAUGAAGAACGCAGCGAAAUGCGAUACGUAAUGUGAAUUGCAAAUUCAGUGAAUCAUCGAGUCUUUGAACGCACAUUGCGCCCCCUGGUAUUCCGGGGGGCAUGCCUGUCCGAGCGUCAUUGCUGCCCUCAAGCACGGCUUGUGUGUUGGGCCCCGUCCUCCGAUCCCGGGGGACGGGCCCGAAAGGCAGCGGCGGCACCGCGUCCGGUCCUCGAGCGUAUGGGGCUUUGUCACCCGCUCUGUAGGCCCGGCCGGCGCUUGCCGAUCAACCCAAAUUUUUAUCCAGGUGACCUCGGAUCAGGUAGGGAUACCCGCUGAACUUAAGCAUAUCAAUAAGCGGAGAUCAUUACCGAGUGAGGGCCUCUGGGUCAACCUCCCACCGUGUUUAUUUUACCUUGUUGCUUCGCGGGCCGCCUUAACUGGCCG
rnacentral:rRNA from 1 species